rnacentral:lncRNA from 1 species
UAUAUAUAUAUAUAUAUAUAUAUAUAUAUACAAAAAAAGUUUCUUUUCAAGCGGUGUACAGAAUUAUAUAUUAAAAAUUAAAUACACAAAAAGAGUUUUAAAAGCAGCAUUGUCUAGCGCUUUCAUCCAUCUUGGGACUUUUCAAGACUAUGAACGUCGUUAUGAACGUCGUUAUGGGGAACACAUUAGUAUUAUGACGUAACGUCAUUGUUCGUAAAAUAUUAGUAGUAUGACGCAACGUUAUUGUUCAUGUAACUACUAAGCAUUAAGCUUGGCGUCAAACACUUUUAUAAAUUUUCUUUCUAGUUCUUUACGGUAUUCUUCUGUUGGUUCUGUACAUUUGAAGAACGGGAAAAAUUUGAAUUUUCCUCCCGCACAAAUAUCUAAAUGUUCGCUCAACGGAAUUUGUCUGUACUCGGGUUGCCGUAUUUGCUGUUUAUGGAUCCUGACCCGUUCACACACACUAUUUCCUGUUUGACCGAUGUAGUUUUCUUUACAGUUGACACAUGUUAUACAAUAGAUUACAUUUUCUGAUUUGCAAGUCAUAUUUGCGUUUACUGUAAAUUUCUUACCGUUUUUGAAAUAUUUCGUACUGCCUAUUUCUAAGUAAAUAUAAUUGUCUCUGGAACAUACUCCACAGCGUGAAUCGCCACAAAUUUGUACGGAUGAUAUCUUCUUAACUAUAUCAAAUCGCGCUUUUGUAA